rnacentral:misc_RNA from 1 species
GAAAUGCGAUAAGUAGUGUGAAUUGCAGAAUUCAGUGAAUCAUCGAAUCUUUGAACGCACAUUGCGCCUUCUGGUAUUCCGGGAGGCAUGCCUGUUCGAGCGUCAUCAAAAACCUCAAUCUCUGAUUUAUCAUUGGUUGGUCUUGCACUGGAGGCGUAAGCUUCCUCUGCGAAAUCCAAUGGCGAUGAGCCACGCAACCAAAGCGUAGUAAUUUUUACCGUGAUGGAAACGUGAGCGCAUCCGCCGUAACCCCCCCAUUCUAAGUUUUUGACCUCGGAUCAGGUAGGGAUACCCGCUGAACUUAA